GACGAACGCUGGCGGCGUGCUUAACACAUGCAAGUCGAACGGUAAGGCCCUUCGGGGUACACGAGUGGCGAACGGGUGAGUAACACGUGGGUGAUCUGCCCUGCACUUCGGGAUAAGCCUGGGAAACUGGGUCUAAUACCGGUUAGGACCCUGGGAUGCAUGUCCUGGGGUGAAAAGCUUUUGCGGUGUGGGAUGGGCCCGCGGCCUAUCAGCUUGUUGGUGGGGUGAUGGCCUACCAAGGCGACAACGGGUAGCCGGCCUGAGAGGGUGACCGGGCAAACGGGGACUGAGAUACGGCCCAGACUCCUACGGGAGGCAGCAGUGGGGAAUAUUGCACAAUGGGCGCAAGCCUGAUGCAGCGACGCCGCGUGAGGGAUGACGGCCUUCGGGUUGUAAACCUCUUUCAGCACCGACGAAGCGCAAGUGACGGUAGGUGCAGAAGAAGGACCGGCCAACUACGUGCCAGCCGCCGCGGUAA
rnacentral:rRNA from 1 species